CUCCAGGGCAGAGCUGCAGCAUGACCCACAGCUUCUGCACAAGCAUAUACAAGCAGGGAAGCAACAUGACAGCCCAGUGCAGACCCCUCCUUACUACUGCACUUAAGGCACACAUGGGGAUCUGCCUGUGAUGAUACAGAAGAUAGGGAGAAAACAUGAAAAAACGAGGUGGAUCUGUUGGGCUGUCAUGGAGUGAGAUGGUGGGAAGCUGCACAGUUGACACUCCUGCACUGGUUUCAUCACGGAGGUGUGUGUGAUAUGUGGCAAGGAGAAGAGGAGGAGCAGAUGACAGUGCACCCUGUGGACACAAACGAUCAU